rnacentral:tRNA from 1 species
GGGAAGGUGGCUCAGUGGUAAAGAGUGCUUGCCUUGCAUGCAUGAGGUUCUGGGUUUGAUUCCUCAGCCCCA